GACGAACGCUGGCGGCGUGCUUAACACAUGCAAGUCGAACGGAAAGGCCCUGCUUUUGUGUGCUACUCGAGUGGCGAACAGGUGCGUAACACGUAAGUAACCUUCCCUUGACUUUGGGAUAACUUCAGGUAACUAGUGCUAAUACUAGCUAGUAGCUCCUACUGCAUAUUAUGGGAUGGAAAGUAUCGGAAGUUUGGUAUGGAAUCGCGGCUUAUGAGCUUGUUGGUGGGGUAGUGACUUACCAAGGCAAUGACGGGUAGCCGGCCUGAGAGGGUGACCGGCCACAUUGGGCCUGAGGUACGGGCCAGAGGGCUACGGGAGGCAGGAGUGGAGGAUAGUGCAAGAUGGGCGGAAGGCGGAAGCAGGAUUGCCGCGUGGGAGAUGACGGCUGUCGGGUUGGAAACCGCGUUCGACUGUGAAGAACAGUGAGUGACGGUAAUGGGUCAGGAAGCACCGGCUAACUACGUG
rnacentral:rRNA from 1 species